CUGCUGCCUCCCGUAGGAGUUUGGGCCGUGUCUCAGUCCCAAUGUGGCCGGUCGCCCUCUCAGGCCGGCUACUGAUCGUCGCCUUGGUGAGCCGUUACCCCACCAACAAGCUAAUCAGACGCGGGUCCAUCCUAUACCACCGGAGUUUUUCACACCGGGCCAUGCGGCCCUGUGCGCUUAUGCGGUGUUAGCAGUCAUUUCUAACUGUUAUCCCCCUGUAUGGGGCAGGUUGCCCACGCGUUACUCACCCGUCCGUCA
rnacentral:rRNA from 1 species